GGUCCUUAACCAGUGGACAAUGUGGGUAGGGGUCCUGAGAGGGAGAUCCCCCACACUGGUACUGAGACACGGACCAGACUCCUACGGGAGGCAGCAGUGAGGAAUAUUGGACAAUGGGCGCAAGCCUGAUCCAGCCAUGCCGCGUGCAGGAAUAAGGUCCUAUGGAUUGUAAACUGCUUUUAUACAGGAAGAAACACACCCUCGUGAGGGUACUUGACGGUACUGUAUGAAUAAGGACCGGCUAACUCCGUG
rnacentral:rRNA from 1 species